rnacentral:rRNA from 1 species
ACGUAGGAGGCAAGCGUUAUCCGGAGUUACUGGGCGUAAAGCGCGUGUAGGUGGAUCGGUAAGUUACUUAUAAAAGCUCCUGGCUAAACUAGGAGAGGUUGAGUGAUACUGCCAGUCUUGAAUAGAGGAGAGGUUGACGGAAUUCCGCGUGUAGUGGUGAAAUGCGUAGAGAUGCGGAAGAACACCAGUGGCGAAGGCGGUCAACUGGCCUCAUAUUGACACUCAGACGCGAAGGCAUGGGUAGCGAACGGGA